rnacentral:rRNA from 1 species
GACGAACGCUGGCGGCGUGCCUAAUACAUGCAAGUAGGACGCAGUUGCGAACGCGUGAGUAAAGCGUAGGUCAAUGCCUAUUAGAGGGGGAUAACUAUUGGAAACGAUAGCUAAUACCGCAUACUAGUAGAUGGACCUGCGUUGUAUUAGGUAGUAGGUAGGGUAAUGGCAUACCUAGGCGACGAUACAUAGCCGCCGUGAGAUGGGGGUCGGCAAAACUGGGACGGAGACACGGCCCAGACUCCUACGGGAGGCAGCAGUAGGGAAUCUUCGGCAAUGGGGGGAACCCUGACCGAGCAACGCCGCGGGAGUGAAGAAGGUUUUCGGAUCGUAAAGCUCUGUUGUUAAGGAAGCGGUACUUAACCAGAAAGGGACGGCUAACUACGUGCCAGCAGCCGUGGUAAUAC